rnacentral:rRNA from 1 species
UACGUAGGGUGCGAGCGUUGUUCGGAAUUACUGGGCGUAAAGGGCUCGUAGGCGGCCAACUAAGUCGGACGUGAAAUCCCUCGGCUUAACCGGGGAACUGCGUCCGAUACUGGAUGGCUUGAGGUUGGGAGAGGGAUGCGGAAUUCCAGGUGUAGCGGUGAAAUGCGUAGAUAUCUGGAGGAACACCGGUGGCGAAGGCGGCAUCCUGGACCAAUUCUGACGCUGAGUGAGCGAAAGCCAGGGGAGCAAACGGG